ACGGGGCGCAGCAGGCGCGAAAACUUUACAAUGCGGGAAACCGCGAUAAGGGGACACUGAGUGCCAGCAUCAAAUGUUGGCUGUCCAGAUGAUUAAAAAUCAUUUGUUAGCAAGGGCCGGGCAAGACCGGUGCCAGCCGCCGCGGUAACACCGGCGGCCCGAGUGGUAGCCGUUUUUAUUGGGUCUAAAGGGUCCGUAGCCGGCCUGAUAAGUCCUUUGGGAAAUCUGGCAGCUUAACUGUCAGGCUUCUAAGGGAUACUGUCAGGCUUGGGACCGGAAGAGGUAAGGGGUACUCCAGGGGUAGGAGUGAAAUCUUGUAAUCCCUGGGGGACCAUCUGUGGCGAAGGCGCCUUACCAGAACGGGUCCGACGGUGAGGGACGAAAGCUAGGGGAGCAAACCGGAUUAGAUACCCGGGUAGUCCUAGCUGUAAACGAUGCUCGCUAGGUGUCAGACACGGUGCGACCGUGUUUGGUGCCGCAGGGAAGCCGUUAAGCGAGCCACCUGGAAGUACGUCGCAAGGC
rnacentral:rRNA from 1 species